UCUAAGACCUUCGAUUAAAAAUUCUGAAACACUUACCGCUCUAUCGAUAAAUUCUUUCCCAAACUUUAAAGAUUCUUUGCACAUUAAAGCACAAAUUAUUAUAAAUAGCUCUAAAACACUUCCCUAACUCUUAGGUGGAAAUAAUUUCAUUAAAAAAUAAACACCAUGAAAAUUCUUGUAUUAGUUUCAUGGCUUUGCCUUAUUAUAUUCUUGAAAACUUUGCCAUACUCAUCUUGCACCUUCAUCCCAAAAUCCACAAAUAAUGAACUCAUCUUGCAAAAUGAAAACAAGGAAAAGAUUGCUAAUGAAUUAUCAAGUAUAGAGAGCAACAAGGAUGAACAUAAAGAUGUUCAUAAAAUUGUUCAUCAAAGAAGAGGAGCUUAUGGUGGACCAGACCUUCUUAGAAAGGGACCCAAAAAAAAUGGAGCAAAUAAUUACAAAUUUGAAAAGCCAAUUUUAAUGUCUUCUUUUUUAUUUUUUCUUCUAGUUGUCUUCACUAUCUAAGUUUGGAAUUAACAAGCGUGUGAUUAGUCGAAAGUCCAUCAAAAAUAGUUCUUUUAUCUUCCUAUAAGGUAGGAGUAAUGGUGUGUGUAUACGGUAUCCUCCUGAGAUCUCACUUGUGUAAUUUCAUAGAAUAUGUUGUUGUUGAAACACGAUUGGUUUCUCUCUUGUGCUCCUUUUAAGUUUUUAUAUGCUCGUUUUAUUUUGUUUGUUUAUCGAGCAUAUAACCUUUUUCUCCCCUAAUAAUGGUAUCUGAAAGUUGAACCA